GCCAGGUGUGGUGGUGCAUGCCUGUAAUCCCAGCAGCUUGGGAGGGAGGCUGAGGCGGGAGGAUCACAAGUUCCAAGGCAGCCUCCGCAAUGGUGAGGCACUAAGCAGCUCAGUGAGACCCUGUCUCUA
rnacentral:sRNA from 1 species